CAGACCUCUAAUCGAAA
rnacentral:rRNA from 2 species